UACGUAGGGUGCGAGCGUUGUCCGGAAUUAUUGGGCGUAAAGAGCUCGUAGGCGGUCUGUUGCGUCGGAUGUGAAAAUCAGGGCUCAACCCUGGACCUGCAUUCGAUACGGGCAGACUAGAGUUCGGCAGGGGAGACUGGAAUUCCUGGUGUAGCGGUGAAAUUCGUAGAUAUCGGGAGGAACACCGGUGGCGAAGGCGGCGACCUGGGUAGAUACUGACGCGUGAGGUGGCGAAAAGCGUGGGGAGCAAACAGG
rnacentral:rRNA from 1 species